rnacentral:rRNA from 1 species
UACGUAGGGCGCAAGCGUUAUCCGGAAUUAUUGGGCGUAAAGAGUCUGCGUGAGCGGUUUGUCGCGUCUGCCGUGAAAGUCCGGGGCUCAACUCCGGAUCUGCGGUGGGUACGGGCAGACUAGAGUGAUGUAGGGGAGACUGGAAUUCCUGGUGUAGCGGUGAAAUGCGCAGAUAUCAGGAGGAACACCGAUGGCGAAGGCAGGUCUCUGGGCAUUAACUGACGCUGAGGAGCGAAAGCAUGGGGAGCGAACAGG